UACAGAGGCCUCGAGCGUUAGGCGGAAUCACUGGGCUUAAAGCGUGUGUAGGCGGACUUCUAAGUACCUUGUGAAAUCCCACGGCUUACCCGUGGAACGGCUGGGUAUACUGGUUGUCUUGAGCCACUUAGGGGCUACCGGAACAAAUGGUGGAGCGGUGAAAUGCGUAGAUAUCAUUUGGAACGCCAAUGGUGAAAACAGGUAGCUGGGAGUGUGCUGACGCUGAGACACGAAAGCCAGGGGAGGCGAACGGG
rnacentral:rRNA from 1 species